rnacentral:tRNA from 1 species
UCCCUGGUGGCUCAGAGGUUAAAGCGUCUGCCUGCAAUGCAGGAGACCUAAGUUCGAUCCCUGGGUUGGGAA